rnacentral:misc_RNA from 1 species
GAUGAAGAUCGUAGCGAAAUGCGAUAAGUAAUGUGAAUUGCAGAAUUCAGUGAAUCAUCGAAUCUUUGAACGCACAUUGCGCCCGCCAGCAUUCUGGCGGGCAUGCCUGUUCGAGCGUCAUUUCAACCCUCGAGCCCCCCCGGGGGCCUCGGUGUUGGGGGACGGCACACCAGCCGCCCCCGAAAUGCAGUGGCGACCCCGCCGCAGCCUCCCCUGCGUAGUAGCACACACCUCGCACCGGAGCGCGGAGGCGGUCACGCCGUAAAACGCCCAACUUUCUUAGAGUUGACCUCGGAUCAGGUAGGAAUACCCGCUGAACUUAAGCAUAUCAAUAAGCGGAGGA